rfam:Schistosoma mattheei strain Denwood, Zambia genome assembly, scaffold: SMTD_scaffold0000948
AACUUUCUGAAUCUGUGUCAAUAUUUUGUCAGAAACCAAUCCACAUUCACGGAUAAGACUUUCAAGAUAAGUGAAGUG